UACGAAGGGGGCUAGCGUUGCUCGGAAUUACUGGGCGUAAAGCGCACGUAGGCGGCUUUCUAAGUCGGGGGUGAAAUCCUGGAGCUCAACUCCAGAACUGCCUUCGAUACUGGAGAGCUUGAGUCCGGGAGAGGUGAGUGGAACUGCGAGUGUAGAGGUGAAAUUCGUAGAUAUUCGCAAGAACACCAGUGGCGAAGGCGGCUCACUGGCCCGGUACUGACGCUGAGGUGCGAAAGCGUGGGAGCAAACAGG
rnacentral:rRNA from 1 species